rnacentral:misc_RNA from 1 species
GAUGAAGAACGUAGCGAAAUGCGAUAAGUAAUGUGAAUUGCAGAAUUCAGUGAAUCAUCGAAUCUUUGAACGCACAUUGCGCCCGCCAGUAUUCUGGCGGGCAUGCCUGUUCGAGCGUCAUUUCAACCAUCAAGCCCCCGGCUUGUGUUGGGGACCUGCGGCUGCCGCAGGCCCUGAAAAGCAGUGGCGGGCUCGCUGUCACACCGAGCGCAGUAGCAUACAUCUCGCUCUGGGCGUGCUGCGGGUUCCGGCCGUUAAACCACCUUCAUAACCCAAGGUUGACCUCGGAUCAGGUAGGAAGACCCGCUGAACUUAAGCAUAUCAAUAAGCGGAGG